rnacentral:lncRNA from 1 species
CAAAUAUAAGCUUAAUACACUCUAUGAUAUAACUAAAUAAGUGUGUCAGUAUUUUACUUUUGUUUCCAAAAUAUUGGUACAGGAAAUUUCAGGAGCUGAUUUGUGUAGCAUCUUAGCAAAUUUGAGUUUUAUGUAUGUGGGGAACUAGCUUUCCUAGUCAUAAAAAUCUUCCCUUAAGAUUGAACGUAAGUUAUCAUUUUUUCUGUCAGUGACAAUUUUAGUGAUUUUGUUGAAGAUACUUCCAGAAAGGAAGCUCUGGACUUUGUUACAGCCACAUCAGUUAUGUCAACUCAAAGGCAAUUUCUGGGCCAAUUUCUUGAGUAAGGUCUGUCUGCUUACAUGAUUUAUGCAGCAAGUGCUUAUUCCAGGAUGAGAAAGGAAAGUAAAUAUGGAAGAAAAAAAGCCCACAAAGAUAAGUUUAUACGUUCUGACACAGAAAACUCUUCUGCUAUCUCAAAACUUGGAGUCUGACUUUGUCUUCAUUGCAAUCAUUUUUACAAACUUCUGGCUAUAAAGAUUUCCUUUGUGGGAGAAAUGUCAUGAUUACAAAGAAAUCCAAAUCAGUCCAAGAUCAUUUUGCCAAUUGUUUUGCUAUGCAGACAAAAUAGAAAUCUCGUGAAUCUCAGCAAUAUCUUUAAGGUGGAAAAUUCUCGGCUGGAUCAAGGUCAUAAUUCUAUGAACUCUGCUUUGGGGGCUGUUAAUUAAAAAGUCUUUGGCUAAAACCACAUUGAGAGGAAGAACUGGAAUCCAGGACUCAUCCUUCUAGCAGAGUGUGCUUAUUUGCAGAUGCCAGAGUCUGCGGUCUGUGUUCUUCACUAGGCCACCAAAUAUGUCCAGCCUUUAGCAGGAAGACGGAACAAAAUAUCCAAUACAGAGGUUAAUUUCAUCCACUUCUGACAAGACUUUCCUGUUCAGAAAAGAAGGAUUAAUAAACCACAGUCACUCACUGUCUAACCACUAGUCUGCAGCAGCUUGCAUCAAAUACGAGACUGACAUGUCAUUGCUUCCUGUCAUUCAUAUUGUUCACUACACUGAUUUGGUCAUCUCAAAGCAGGAGAGAUAGAGAAAAGGCUGGGUCCCACUGGAAUCUGAGUUCAAAAUGUGUAGAAGAUGACAGAGUGUACAUGAGUUUCUCAGCUUAUAGUCAUGAAGCAAACACAGACCUGGACAGUGGGAUAGUUUAUUUUCGUUUCCAUACGAGGGAUUACUUCCAUGGCAACUUACAUAUAGACAAGUUCCUAUUAUGGAGAGAUACAAUACCGAUAAAGGUAAGAAAAUUCUUGCUUUUCUAUAUUGCUCCAUUAUAAUUUAAUGAGAUAAACAAAACAAAGAAUAAAACCCACGGGCCUCAGUGCAUUAUGCCUGC